rnacentral:lncRNA from 1 species
AGGUGUUGGUGUCUCUAAGCCAGAUUUAAUCACCUGUCUGGAGCAAGGAAAAGAGCCCUGGAAUAUGAAGAGACACAAGAUGGUAGCCAAGCCCCCAGUUGUGUGUUCUCAUUUUGCCCAAGACCUUUGGCCAGAGCAGGGCAUAAAAGAUUCUUUCCAAAAAGUAAUACUGAGAAGCUAUGGAAAAUAUGGACAUGACAAUUUACAAUUAAGAAAAGGCUGUGAAAGUGUGGAUGAGUGUAAGAUGCACAAAGGAGGUUAUGAUGAACUUAAGCAAUGUUUGACAACUACCCCGAGCAAAAUAUUUCAAUGUGAUAAAUAUGUAAAAGUCUUUCAUAAAUUUUCAAGUUCAAAUAGCCAGAAGAUAAGACAUACUGGAAAUAAUUCUUUCAAAUGUAAAGAAUGUGGCAAAUCAUUUUGCAUGCUUU